rfam:Beta vulgaris subsp. vulgaris contig103782.1, whole genome shotgun sequence.
GUGUGAAAUCAUACCAGCACUAAUGCACCGGAUCCUAUCAAAAUUCCGCAGUUAAGCGUGCUUGGGCGCGAGUAGUACUAUGACGGGUGACCUCAUAGCCAUAGGAAGUCCUCUAUUGCACCCC